AUUCGUGCGUCAGUCGAGCAACAAGAAAAAAUAAACUAUAAAAAGCAAGUUCUUGCUCGCAGGUGCUGCCAGACAGGGCUCCCCCAACCCCCAGCCUCGAGAGAGAACAGAACCCAGUGCUGAACGACUGCCCUGGGCUUAGAGCGGAAGGAUUCACGGCUGAAAUACAUGGAUUUCUCUUAUUCACAAACAGCAAUCACACAGUGACAGUUUUAAACUGUGUUUUCCCAACUCCAAGCUUUAAAAUACGAAACAGUCCUAUAAGGCAGCAGUGUCUGAUACAAGCAACGUGGUAGGCAGAAUUUAAAAAUUCGCUAAUCGUUUGGCUUGGUAUGCGUCGCGACCUCUUCUGAAAGGUGUCAUUAACGCUUUGUUCUCAUUAUUCCCCCGUUCUGUAUUCUCCUCCCACCUUCCCCCUCGGACUCACAUGUAUUCUGAGAAGCGUCAGUGUUUUAAAUCUAAACAGGACUUUCUAAGCCGCCCAAACGGGAAUCGGGACGAGAGGACCCCGGCAUGGACAUGGUUCCGACUCUCCAGGUGAACGCUGCGUGAGGCCAUCCUCCAACCACUAAGUGCAAGCAUUCUGUGUCCAGCUGCUUGCAAGUGGCUUCUUAAAUUAAAUAUGAACAUGUUUGCUGGAGCCAUUGUAAUCAGUGUAAGGCUGUUCUGGUCAAACUUGCCUCAAGACUAAAUGAAAACAGACUGUGUUGACAAGAUGAAGUCAUCCUUAAGUGCGAAGUGUAAACCACGGAAGUCCAAAGGAGGCGAAGGAUUUAUGAUAAUCCUUGGAGGACAUCAGAGCCUGAUAUUGGCCUGGAGUGCUGUGCCAUUUGCAAGGGUCAGCACACAUUUAGCAUUGUGAGUUUUGCCCACUUUCUUUCUUCCUUCCUUCCUUUUUUUUCUUUCUUUCUUUUUUCUUUCUUUAAGUUUAUUUACAUCCCAAGGGUGCC